rnacentral:rRNA from 1 species
UACGGAGGGGGCGAGCGUUAUUCGGAAUUACUGGGCGUAAAGCGCGCGCAGGUGGCGUGGCAAGUGGCGGGUGAAAGCCCUCGGCUCAACCGAGGAAUUGCCUGCCAAACUACCGCGCUUGAGGCCGGGAGGGGGAAGCGGAAUUCCUGGUGUAGCGGUGAAAUGCGUAGAUACCAGGAGGAACACCGGUGGCGAAGGCGGCUUCCUGGACCGGUUCUGACACUCAUGCGCGAAAGCGUGGGGAGCAAACAGG